GACGAACGCUGGCGGCGUGCUUAACACAUGCAAGUCGAGCGAGGCCCCUCCUCUGUUAGGGUGUCCUAGCGUCGAACGCGUGUGUAACACGCGUGCAACCUGCCCUCAUCUCUUGGAUAACUCCUGGAAACCGUGGCUCUUACCCCAUACGACCUCCCCGGCCACCUGCUGGGGUUGAAAGUUUUUCGGCUGUGGAUGGUCCCGCGGCCUAUCAGCUAGUUGGUGGGGUAGUGGUCCACCAAGGCGACGACGGGUAGCCGGCCUGAGAGGGCGACCGGCCACACUGGGACUGAGAUACGGCCCAGACUCCUACGGGAGGCAGCAGUGGGGAAUAUUGCGCAAUGGGCGGAAGCCUGACGCAGCGACGCCGCGUGAGGGAGGAAGGCCUUCGGGUUGUAAACCUCUUUCGGCAGGGACGAAGCGAGAGUGACGGUAACUGGAGAAGAAGCACCGGCCAACUACGUG
rnacentral:rRNA from 1 species